GGCUUGAUAGUUCAGUGGCAGAAUUCAUGCUUUGGGUAUAGCUUAAUUGUAUGAGGUAAGAUAAUAGCGCAUCUGUUCCAGAUUCCAAUUCUAACAAGAAAAUAGGUCCUGGGUUCAAUCCCCAGUCAAGCCC